GGAAAAGGAAGAUGGUGAGCUGAAACAGAAGUCAGAAAUGCAGGCAAGAUAUGUCUGCUGGCUAAGGAUGGUAUUUUAUAAAAGCAGCAUUGUCUCAGAGAAGGUCCUUGACAUACAUGUCUGGUCCCCAAAAUGCCCAUGGCCAUUCCAAAGCCACCCAAAAGGAGAGGAAAUGUGGCCAAAUGGAAGUCAAGGUGGAAAGAGGCAGUGAUCUGAAGCAACUAAACAUCUUACCAUUGCAGAGUUUAUAACAAUGGGAAAUGAAGUCUCAGAGAAAUUGUUUUCUGCCUACACAUGGUGGAAGUAUUUCAAAGCUGGAGUUCAAAACCAG
rnacentral:lncRNA from 1 species